UAUCUCUCUCUAUCUCUCUCUCUUUGAAUUGGAAGAAGGUCCCCACGCCCUAGCUGCACCUCCACGCUCUAUCUUAUGUCUACCAUCUUUGAUGCCUACAAGUAACAAAAACGGCAGAUCAAGGCCUAUGCAUUCCAUGCGUUCGCAAACCCUAGCUGCCCAGUCGACUACUCGGGCCUGUUUUGCGACAAUAUCCGAUUGUACCUCCAGGAAUGGGCUAAGAUCGAGGACUACAAUGUCGAAGGGAUGCCGACAUGGUGCACGCUGCUCGUCAAUGAGAGCAGCGGUGUCGUUGUCCGUCUCUAUUUCAUCGAAGAAAAUGUCAAGCACUCGAGCCGACUGUUCUGCGAUUUUUGUUGUUGCGUCGGGUCAAUUUAAGGAUGAGUUCGUCACUGCCGGAGGGGUCCUGCUCUUGGAGGUUUCCACUUCUGCAAUUGCAUGUCUGCUGGAAUAAUUUUUCUGGGUUCAUGUCAUUGAGAGGUCAAGAAGACUAUAACAGGCUGAGACCUCUCAGCUACAGUGGCGCUGAUGUCUCUCUCCUUGCUUUCUCUCUCAUUAGUAGGCCUAGUUUUGAGAACAUAGCAAGGAAGGUGAGCUUAUUUGAUUGUCCUGCUGUGAUUUUUUUUUUCAAUACCCAAUUGUAUUUUGUUGGCAUUGAUAUUCUGCUCAAAGUAAUGGUAAUGAUGCUGUAUUCUUAGGGUACACUUUUCUGAUUUUCUGUCACUUUCUUUUUCUGGAUUCUGUUAUUCGUAUUGGUUUCUAUUUGUAUUUCACAUGUGUUGAAUC